rnacentral:tRNA from 1 species
GGCGUCGUAGCCAAAUGGCUAAGGCAGUGGAUUGCAAAUCCACCAUGUCCCGGUUCGAGUCCGGGCGACGCCU